GGGCUUUGAGAUAUAAUGUGAGGUCAUUUAUUUGUUGGCUCUUUCUAUUAAGUUCUUUCUAUUAAGGAAUGAACUCCAUGCAAUGGAUUUUCCUCUUAGUGCUGCUGUCAUAGUGUCCCAGAGAUUUCGAUAUGUUGUGUCUGUAUUUUCAUUUAUAAGAAUAUUUUAAUCUUCUCCUUGAUGUCUUCUGUAACCCAUUGUUCAUUCUGUAGCAUUUUUUUAUCCUUAUUUAUUUCCAAUUUCAUUCCAUUAUGAUAUGAUAAAAUGCAUGGUAGUAUCUCUACUUCUUUGUAUUUGCUAAGAGUUGCCCUAUGGCAUAAUAUAUGGUCUAUUUUUGAGAAGAAUCCAUGUGCUGCUGAGAAAAUGUAUCCACUUGAUGUUGGUUGAUAGUCUAUAGAUGUCAAUUAAGUUAUUGAUUGUGUUAUUGAGUUCUAUAGUUUCUUC
rnacentral:lncRNA from 1 species